CCUACGGGAGGCAGCAGUGAGGAAUAUUGGUCAAUGGGCGCGAGCCUGAACCAGCCAAGUAGCGUGAAGGAUGACUGCCCUACGGGUUGUAAACUUCUUUUAUAAAGGAAUCAAGUGAGGCACGUGUGCCUUUUUGUAUGUACUUUAUGAAUAAGGAUCGGCUAACUCCGUGCCAGCAGCCGCUGUAAUACGGAGGAUCCGAGCUUUAUCCGGAUUUAUUGGGUUUAAAGGGAGCGUAGAGGGGUUGUUAAGUCAGUGUGGAAAGUUUGCGGCCAAACCGUAAAAUUGCAAUUGAUACUGGCAGCUUUGAGUCAAGUUGAGGAAGGCGGAAUGCGUGGUGUAGCGGUGAAAUGCUUAGAUAUCACGAAGAA
rnacentral:rRNA from 1 species